rnacentral:rRNA from 1 species
CCUACGGGCGGCAGCAGUGGGGGAUAUUGGACAAUGGGGGAAACCCUGAUCCAGCGACGCCGCGUGAGUGAAGAAGUAUUUCGGGUUGUAAAGCUCUAUCAGCAGGGAAGAAAAUAAUGACGUUACUUUAGAAAGAACCACCGCCGAACUAGUUGACAGCGGCCGCGUUAAAACGUAGGGGGCAGGCUUUCGCCGGAUUUACUGGGUGAAAAGGCAGCGUAGACGGUUUGGCAAGCCUGGGGUGAAAGGGGGGGGCUCAACCCCCGGACUGCUGUGGAAAUUGUUGGUCUGGAGUGCAGGAGAGGCAGGCGGAAUUCCUAGUGUAGCGGUGAAAUGCGUAGAUAUUAGGAGGAACACCAGUGGCGAAGGCGGCCUGCUGGACUGUAACUGACGUUGAGGCUCGAAAGCGUGGGGAGCAAACAGGAUUAGAUACCCGUGUAGUC